rnacentral:rRNA from 1 species
AAGCGUUUAUGACCAGACUUGCGCCGGUUGAUCAUCCGCCGUUCUCGGCGGUGCACUCUGCCGGCUCAGGCCAGCAUCAGUUUGGCCCGGAGGAUAAAGGUUUCGGUAAUGUGGCCCCCCCGGGGGUGUUAUAGACCGUUGCGUAAUACUCUGGGCUAGACUGAGGUCCGCGUUCUGCAAGGAUGCUGGCAUAAUGGUCAUCAGCGA